rnacentral:rRNA from 1 species
AUGGAUAGCCCGUUGCAACAUACAUACUCUUUUGCUAGUAAAUGUUUGCAGCUGAAGGCAACGCGCCUACAAUUGGUCUACUCAUGGCUGUCGUCAAACGAGACAAGGAGACCCAGUACACUGCGAGGGGGAAACCUAUUAACUAGGGUGUCAGAACUCAUCGACCCAGCUACUAAUCAGUGGGAUCACCAGCUUAUGACACAGACUUUCACGCCGGCAGAUGCAGCAACAGUCAUGGCUAUCCCCAUCUGCGAUCAGUAUGAGGAUUUUGUGGCAUGGCACUUCGAUAAGAAAGGGCUCUUCUCAACAAGCUGGAGAGAGCACCGCCGGACACCAGCAAAGGGCAUGGUAUGGGGCAAAUCCGAUGCCCUGCGCGUGUGCAUCACUUUCUGUGGCGCCUGGCUCAUAACAGCCACCCCCUACUCCGGAAUGUUGAGCGAAUUGGGGUCGAGCUUGACACAACCUGCGUCCUAUGCGGCCGUCUACCGGAGGAUGGAGGACACCUAUUCCUGCGGUGCAAGUGAAGAAAGUUUGGAGGGGCUGUGGUUUGGAGCGGGGUCAGGGGGCUGGGGUGCCCUCGCCAGGAAUGGAGACGGGGAAGUGGUAUUGGCAGCGGCGGGCGGUCUGCAGCACAUGCAAGAUGCCAUGCAUGCGGAAGCGUCUGCGUUGCUGAAGGCCAUCCAUGUUGCUGAACAAGUUGGUAUGGGCCGGGUGAUCUUCCAGACCGACUGUCUGCGAAGCCCCCUUGGCGUCUUAUUCAGGGAAGCUAAGUUCCAAUUGCAGCGAGCGUUUAUUGAGGCUAAGGUAGUUUUCCAGCACAUGAAUUGUAACAAACCAGCGCAUAUGCUGGCAGCCUCUGACGGUCGGAACCUUCCGAAUGGCCAGUAUGUCUGGCUCUCGGAGUUCCCCGUAGAUGUAAUCCAAGCUGUGGCCGCCGAUUUGGUCGGUCCACCAUAA